rfam:Salmo salar isolate Sally breed double haploid chromosome ssa16, whole genome shotgun sequence.
AGAUCUUAUAAAUCUAAUGUCGCUCUGGAUAAGAGCGUCUGCUAAAUGACUUAAA